rnacentral:rRNA from 1 species
UACGUAGGGGGCGAGCGUUGUCCGGAUUUAUUGGGCGUAAAGAGCUCGUAGGCGGUUUGGCAAGUCGGGUGUGAAAACUCCGGGCUCAACUCGGAGACGCCACUCGAUACUGCCAUGACUCGAGUCCGGUAGGGGAGUGCGGAAUUCCUGGUGUAGCGGUGAAAUGCGCAGAUAUCAGGAGGAACACCGGUGGCGAAGGCGGCACUCUGGGCCGGUACUGACGCUGAGGAGCGAAAGCGUGGGGAGCGAACGGG